GAAUGUAAGAUGCACACUCUAUCUUAGAAUUUACUAGUACACUACAACAGAAUUAGAUUUACUCAACCCACCUCAUCCAAUCCAUUCGGCUCGAUUACAAAAAAAAAAAGAAGAAAAAUCGUUCACCAUCUCCCCUUCUCCUCUCACUCAAUUUACUGAAACCCUAAACGAAGAGCACUUAACUCUCCUCCUUUUCUGCCACCGCAGCCAACGAGAUAGAAUUUCGACGAUUGCUAAAUACUUAAAUAAGUGUUGGUAAAUUAGUAACAUUUUUUUAAGUUAUACCGACACUUUUAAACUGUCACUAUAUACCUACCGAUCCGACAUAUAACAAUAUUUUUUAAAAAUAUCGAUAAUUUAGCCAGCACUAUUUUUUUUAAUUUAUACUAAUAUUUAAAAACGUGGCUAUAUACUAUUUUGUUGUAGUAGUAGUAUUGAUCUCAUAGUAUUUAAAACAAAAAAAAUU
rnacentral:lncRNA from 1 species